rnacentral:rRNA from 1 species
UACGAAGGGUGCAAGCGUUACUCGGAAUUACUGGGCGUAAAGCGUGCGUAGGUGGUUUGUUAAGUCUGAUGUGAAAGCCCUGGGCUCAACCUGGGAAUUGCAUUGGAUACUGGCAGGCUAGAGUGCGGUAGAGGAUGGCGGAAUUCCCGGUGUAGCAGUGAAAUGCGUAGAGAUCGGGAGGAACAUCUGUGGCGAAGGCGGCCAUCUGGACCAACACUGACACUGAGGCACGAAAGCGUGGGGAGCAAACAGG